GACAGCAGUCGCCACGGGAAUACAGAGGGUGCGAGCGUUAAUCGGAUUUACUGGGCGUAAAGCGUGCGUAGGCGGCUUCUUAAGUCGGAUGUGAAAUCCCUGAGCUUAACUUAGGAAUUGCAUUCGAUACUGGGAAGCUAGAGUAUGGGAGAGGAUGGUAGAAUUCCAGGUGUAGCGGUGAAAUGCGUAGAGAUCUGGAGGAAUACCGAUGGCGAAGGCAGCCAUCUGGCCUAAUACUGACGCUGAGGUACGAAAGCAUGGGGAGCAAACAGGAUUAGAUACCCGCGUAGUCCCUGUCUCUUAUAC
rnacentral:rRNA from 1 species